UGAUGUAAAUGUGGUCAUGCUUCAGGAA
rnacentral:piRNA from 2 species